rnacentral:rRNA from 1 species
GUCAGCUGCCACACCACCUACAGUUUAGACUAGUUAAUACUUCUCAAGCUAAGUAGGCUGGGCCCAGCCACUACUUGGAUGGGAAACCAGGUAGGAAAGCUGGGUGUGUUGGUG